CGAGUGACCGAGUCCGAGCUCGACGGACAAUAACAUGAACUCUGUCCAGCUCCACGAUAGUUUUGGAAGUAAAUUAAACUGAAGAACGUUAAGCAUGCCCGAUUUUUAGACAGUUCAUGUAAUACAUUAAAAACUUUUGAUGCGACAGAGUUUUUUUGGUAAAUAGAAAAUGGAUUGGAGGAGGACGAUCUGGCGCAGAUAUCUCUCUUGACCAUAGGGCCUCAAC
rnacentral:lncRNA from 1 species